rnacentral:misc_RNA from 1 species
CUACAGGUCGUACAAGUGCGUAAACAUUAGUACGCACGAAUGUAUUUCUUAGCCCACCGUUGUGGCGAGUAAUUCAACUUGAAUUCUUCUUACUCAUGUUUCCUUUAUUCAAAAUCACUUAAUAAGAAGGGGCUAGUCCCUUCCACUUUAGUCUUGAAUUUGGCUUCUACUUGGCAUCCUUUGAUAACAGGUUGUUGGAUUCGAUCUUCCGAACAUUAGUAAGCUCAUCGACCCCAUCGCCUCUUUCGAAGACAGCUGCAGCACCCAUCCCAGAGCCUAUGCACAUUGAGACGAUACCGAAACGACAAUCCUUUCCUCUGCGCUUCAUUUCGUUUAAAAGGGUACUCACACAUCGCGCCCCUGUUGCACCCAAAGGAUGUCCAAGAGCAAUAGCGCCUCCAUUUACAUUUAUCUUCGAUGGAUCAAGCUCUAAUUUCUUGGCACAAUACACAAAUUGAGACGCAAAAGCCUCGUUGAUCUCAAAAAGAUCAAUAUCAUCAAGCUGAAGACCAGCAGAUUUCACUGCAGCGGGUAUUGCGACCGCAGGACCAAUACCCAUGACAGCAGGAUCAACCCCCACAGCAGCAAAACUCCUGAAUACACCAAGUAUAGGGAGCCCCUUUUGCAAUGCUACAUCUCUCCUCAUCAGAAGAACAGCUCCAGCACCAUCACUCACUUGACUUGAGUUUCCAGCAGUUGUGCUGCCAUCCUUCUUGAAUACUGCUCUGAGCUUCGCUAGACCAGACACUGAUGUCUCUGGUCGAAUUCCAUCAUCCACAGAGAUUAUUACUGGUUUUUCCUCUCCAGUUUUUGGGUCCACAAUCUUUGUGGGUACAGGAACUAUUUCCUCUCUGAAUUUACCAGCAGCAGUCGCAGCAGCUGCCUUCCUAUGAGAUUCAACAGCAGCUUGAUCUUGCUCCUCUCGGGUUACACCAAAGCGAUGUGCUACAUUUUCCGAAGUAAUUCCCAUGGGAAGGAGACAAUCCUGUGCCUUUUGUAUCAUAUUCACUCUCGGAUUAAUUGAACCCUCCCAAGCUACUGAGUUCAAUGUCAUUGAUUCCAACCCUGCUCCAAUGCCAAUGUCAUAAAAUCCA